GCCUGCCCCGAGAUCGGCGCACGCGCCAGCCUCGCCGCCGACCGCCGCUUCCUCUACUACAGCCGCUACUCCGGCAGGGCUCGCGUGCCGCUGAGCUGCUACCUGUACCGCGCGUGGGCGCCGCGUCACCCUCGCACCACCGGUCCUGACAAUGGCUGCGUCACUCUGGACUCCAGCGGCCGCUGGAGAACCACGCGCUGCGCCCAGCGACACGCCUUCCUCUGCGAGCUCUUGCCUCCUGAACGCCGUUCUGCAAGCUCCGGUGCUGUAAAAGGUGACCUGACAGCGGGAAGAAUCACUUCUGAGGACGUAACAGUUCUGGAUUACUGCAGUAAAAAUGAUUCGCUGUUGAGAAAAAAGCAGCCAGAUUUAUGGGCCAGAGAGCUAAAAUAAACAUAA